UGAAGGAAAGUUAUCAAGGUGGCAACUAGGAUUUAAAGUGGCGACUAAGUUAAGAGGAUUCUAGGAUUUAGUUGAAUGAAAGUGUAGAAUAAGUAGUUAUUUUUAAAAUGUAGAUAUCUAAUAUAUAGUAUAAAUAGGGAAAGGUAACUGCUGAAAAGAUGGUUCAGCAAGUAGAAUGGAUGAAUAGUCAGGAAAAGUAGUUAUCAUCUAUAGUAUAAGAGUUGGUAUCUCGAGGUAGUAUAAGGAGGAUAGGAGAGGGGAAGAAAAUGGCAGACUGCGAUAGUACUGAGCCGGGAAUAAGCUUGGUGCUACCUCUUCUUUUUAAUUUUCUUGUUUUUUUUGUAUUAGUGUUGAUUCUAAUAAAGAGAAUCGAUUUAAUGAAUCAAUGUCUGAUUUAUGAAGUUGUUUAUGGAUCACUAUUUAUCAAUUGUUGUAAAAAAUUGAGGAUGUAUAGAAGUUUUCAGUCACUGUUUAUCGCAAGGUUGUAAGUUCAGUGGAGAGGAAUUGUAAUCGAAGGAAUUAUCUCGAUCAGAUUCUGUGGAUUAGAAGUUGUUCGUUCCAGGGUUUGGAUUGUGCUUGUGUGUUCGUGAAUUACACAGGGUAUUGAAAUUGAUGUCGUAAUUGUUACAGUAUUGAUAUGAGAGAGUGGACAGUAAGAGGAAAAGUUAAGUGUUCUUUGGUAUUGUAAGCAUUCAGCAGUAGUGGUUAAUUGUGU
rnacentral:lncRNA from 1 species